rnacentral:rRNA from 1 species
AUUGAACGCUGGCGGCAUGCCUUACACAUGCAAGUCGAACGGUAACAGGUCUUCGGAUGCUGACGAGUGGCGAACGGGUGAGUAAUACAUCGGAACGUGCCUAGUAGUGGGGGAUAACUACUCGAAAGAGUGGCUAAUACCGCAUGAGAUCUACGGAUGAAAGCAGGGGAUCGCAAGACCUUGUGCUAUGAGAGCGGCCGAUGGCAGAUUAGGUAGUUGGUGGGAUAAAAGCGUACCAAGCCGACGAUCUGUAGCUGGUCUGAGAGGACGAUCAGCCACACUGGGACUGUGACACGGCCCAGACUCCUACGGGAGGCAGCAGUGGGGAAUUUUGGACAAUGGGCGCAAGCCUGAUCCAGCAAUGCCGCGUGCAGGAUGAAGGCCUUCGGGUUGUAAACUGCUUUUGUACGGAACGAAAAGCCCUGGGUUAAUACCCUGGGGUCAUGACGGUACCGUAAGAAUAAGCACCGGCUAACUACGUGCCAGCCGCCGCGGUAACAC